rnacentral:rRNA from 1 species
GAGAAGAAAGCAAAAGCGAUUCCCUGAGUAGCGGCGAGCGAAAGGGGAGGAGCCCAAACCCAUCAUGUGUAGAAGGCCGUCGCCGUUGCAUGAUGGGGGUUGAGGGAGUGCCGGGCCUGAACGACGGUAGGGCGAGGCGAGCUGAAGGGGUAGCCGAACACCGCUGGAAAGCGGGGCCGCAGGAGGUGACAGCCCUGUAGGCGAAACUCUGACAGCCGUCUGGCACAUCCCGAGUACCACGGGACACGUGGAACCCCGUGGGAAGCAGGGAGGACCAUCUUCCAAGGCUAAAUACCACCUUGCGACCGAUAGCGCAUAGUACCGUGAGGGAAAGGUGAAAAGAACCCCGGGAGGGGAGUGAAAAAGAACCUGAAACCGUGUGUCUACAAGCAGAGGGAGCGCAAGCGACCUCGUACUUUUUGCAGAACGGACCGGCGAGUUACUGUGCCAAGCGAGGUUAAGGGGCAAGAGCUCCGGAGCCGAAGCGAAAGCGAGUCUGAAGAGGGCGACAGUUUGGCGCAGUAGACCCGAAACCGCGUGAUCUACCCAUGGCCAGGGUGAAGCGGAACUAACCUUCCGUGGAGGCCCGAACCAUGUUGACGUUGAAAAGUCAUGGGAUGAGCUGUGGGUAGGGGUGAAAUGCCAAUCGAACGCGGAGAUAGCUGGUUCUCCCCGAAAUAGCUUUAGGGCUAGCCUCAACUGGACCUGUCCGGAGGUAGAGCACUGAAUGGGCUAGGGGCCGAGAGGUUACCGAACCCUAUCAAACUCCGAAUGCCGGGCAGAGGUUAGUUGGGAGUCAGACUGUGGGGGAUAAGCUUCAUAGUCGAGAGGGGAACAGCCCAGACCGUCAGCUAAGGUCCCGAAGUAAGCCUAAGUGGGGAAGGAUGUGGCACUGCUGAGACAACCAGGAUGUUGGCUUAGAAGCAGCCAUCAUUUAAAGAGUGCGUAAUAGCUCACUGGUCAAGCGGUGCUGCGCCGAAAAUGUAACGGGGCUAAAGGCUUACACCGAAGCUGCGGAUGGUGACCGAAAGGUCAUCGUGGUAGGGGAGCGUUCCUGCUGGGCAGAAGCUUAACCGUAAGGUUAGGUGGACUGGUAGGAAGUGAGAAUGUCGGUAUAAGUAGCGAGAGGCAGGUGAGAAUCCUGCCCGCCGAAAGCCUAAGGAUUCCUGAGGAAGGCUCGUCCGCUCAGGGUUAGCCGGGGCCUAAGCCGAGGCAUGGAAUGCGUAGGCGAUGGACAACGGGUUGAUAAUCCCGUGCCACCCGAGACCGAUUGAGCGAAGGGGUGACGCAGGAGGGUAGGCCGAGCGCGCGGUUGGUAGAGCGCGUCCAAGCCCAAAGGCAAGCCGGAUAGGCAAAUCCGUCCGGUGGUGCUGAAGGGUGACGGGGAGGGAAAUAAAAGUACCGAAGCGGCUGAACCCAUACUGCCCAGAAAAGCCUCUAGCGAGGUCAAGGGUGCCCGUACUGCAAACCGACACAGGUAGGCGAGGAGAGAAUCCUAAGGCGAACGGGAGAACCCUCGUUAAGGAACUCGGCAAACUGACCCCGUAACUUCGGGAGAAGGGGUGCCCUAGUAACUGGUAGGAAACUGCUGGUGAACGGGUCGCAGAGAAUCGGCCCAAGCGACUGUUUAGCAAAAACACAGGUCUCUGCUAAGGAGGAAUCCGACGUAUAGGGGCUGACGCCUGCCCGGUGCUGGAAGGUUAAGGGGAGGGGUUAGCGGGAGACCGCGCAGCCUCGAACCGAAGCCCCAGUGAACGGCGGCCGUAACUAUAACGGUCCUAAGGUAGCGAAAUUCCUUGUCGGGUAAGUUCCGACCCGCACGAAAGGCGUAACGACUUGGGCGCUGUCUUGACGAGGGGCCCGGCGAAAUUGUAGUAUGAGUGAAGAUGCUCAUUACCCGCAGCUGGACGGAAAGACCCCGUGGAGCUUUACUGUAGCCUGAUAUUGGAUUUCGGCAUUGGAUGUACAGGAUAGGUGGGAGGCGUAGAACCUGACUCGUCAGGGUCAGGGGAGCCGACGGUGGGAUACCACUCUUUCAAUGCUGGAGUUCUAACCUCAAGCCGUAAGCCGGCUGGGGGACAGUGUCAGGUGGGCAGUUUGACUGGGGCGGUCGCCUCCUAAAGGGUAACGGAGGCGCCCAAAGGUCACCUCAGCGCGGUUAGGAAUCGCGCGGUGAGUGCAAAGGCAUAAGGUGGCCUAACUGCGAGAGAGACAUCUCGAGCAGUGUCGAAAGACGGGCUUAGUGAUCCGGCGGUACUGGAUGGGAAGGCCGUCGCUCAACGGAUAAAAGCUACCCCGGGGAUAACAGGCUGAUCUCCCCCAAGAGUCCACAUCGACGGGGAGGUUUGGCACCUCGAUGUCGGCUCGUCGCAUCCUGGGGCUGGAGUAGGUCCCAAGGGUUGGGCUGUUCGCCCAUUAAAGCGGCACGCGAGCUGGGUUCAGAACGUCGUGAGACAGUUCGGUCCCUAUCCGCUGCGGGCGCAGGAUACUUGAGGGGAGCCGCCCCUAGUACGAGAGGACCGGGGUGGACGGACCGAUGGUGUACCAGUUGUCUCGCCAGAGGCACAGCUGGGUAGCCAAGUCCGGAAGGGAUAAGCACUGAAAGCAUCUAAGUGCGAAGCCCCCCCCCAAGAUUAGGUAUCCCACCCGAAAGGGGUAAGACACCGGGGAGACGACCCGGUAGAUAGGCCAGGGGUGUAAGGGUUGUAAGGCCUUGAGCCGACUGGUACUAAUCAGUCGAGGGCUUGACCA